rnacentral:lncRNA from 1 species
CUAGUCAUAGUAUCAUCAUGAGGAUGGUGAUCGAUCUGAAUAGAUCGACGUACAGAUCACUUCUUUCAAGAUAGAUGAGUCUCUGACCUACAGUGUAGAGACACUGAGUGAUGAGUGCGGAUAGUUGUUAGAGAAUAAUUAGUACUGAGCGUGACCAUACGAGAGAUCACUUGGAUUUCUACUCAAUCAUCAGUGAUCGUUUCAAUGCUGUAGUUGUAUGAAUGAUCCUUUGACUUGCGAUGGCACUACUACUUGUAGUAAGAUUGUUGAAGUUUGACUGACACAUAAACAUGACCUCAAUGAGAUUUUGUAAUGGAUGUUGGUGAUAAUUGAUCCACUGUAGGAUGAUAAUUAGUCCACUGUAGGAGUAGGGUGCACAUCUAGAUAGAAUCUAUCGAUCUUGAUAGAGAGAAGUAGUCCUAUGAGAUUUAAAAAGCUAAGUCCAAGAGUCUG